AUGGCAUCUCUGAGGGCUUGAGGGAGGUCAGAGAAAAUGUCUAUCUGGACAAUAUUCUCCUGAUGGCCCAAGAUCCGACAAUACUCCAGAGAGGUAUGGUCAUGAGGGUUUGCCUGCUGCAAUAGUAUGGAGAAAUCGGCAUUAAUGCUGUUGUGGAUCAAAUUAAUUCCUGGGUUAUAAAGGCGAUCUUCAGAUCGUCUCUGGACUUUGUGCUAGAGUCAGGUGCCAGCUACAUGGGCUAGGGUGAGAC